AUGAUAGAGCGCUUCCAGGGCGAAGAUAAGAUCUACCACAGUUUUGAUAGUGUAGAGGAUGAUCCACACGGCUACUAUGCCCCCGAAUUCCUUAAUAACCUGACUCCCAACGGGCUGCCUCCGCAUGCACUCAAACUAAAGAUAAAUUGCCCCGUUAUACUAUUGAGAAACAUUGAUCCAGCUAAUGGGUUGUGUAACGGCACAAGGCUUGUGGUCCGGGGUUUUCAGAGGAACGCCAUUGAUGCAGAAAUCGUGCUAGGACAACAUGCUGGUAGGAGGGUGUUCCUUCCUCGGAUACCUCUCUGCCCAUCCGAUGACGAUAUAUUCCCUUUCAAGUUCAAGAGGAAGCAGUUCCCUAUUAGGCUCAGCUUUGCCAUGACAAUCAACAAGGCGCAAGGGCAGACCAUCCCAAUUGUCGGGGUGUACCUACCGGACCCGGUUUUCUCUCACUGUCAGCUCUACGUCGCAUUGUCUAGAGCCACAGUGAAGAGGAACAUUAAGAUUCUCGCCAUCAAGGACAAUGGCAAGGGUAAGGGCAAGGGUAAGGAAGAAAGCAAGAAUUCAAAGAAGCGAACAAGAUCUGAGCCCUUAUUAACGACCAUGAAGAACAUAGUGUACAAGGAAGUCCUUAGCACAUGA
rnacentral:rRNA from 1 species